CCCUGUACGAGUCUUAAGAAAAUCGAGAGAUGAAGUGCCCUGUAUCAGACUCUUAGAGCAUCAGCAGAGAUAGACAAGCUUGCCCUGUAUCAGACUCUGAGAGCAUCAGCAGAGAUAUGCAAGCUUGCCCUGUAUCAGACUCUGAGAGCAUCAGCAGAGAUAUGCAAGCUUGCCCUGUAUCAGACUCUUAGAGCAUCAGCAGAGAUAUGCAAGCUUGCCCUGUAUCAGACUCUUAGAGCAUCAGCAGAGAUAUGCAAGCUUGCCCUGUGUCAGACUCUGAGAGCAUCAGCAGAGAUAUGCAAGCUUGCCCUGUAUCAGACUCUGAGAGGAUCAGCAGAGAUAUGCAAGCUUGCCCUGUAUCAGACUCUGAGAGGAUCAGCAGAGAUAUGCAAGCUUUGCCCUGUGUCAGACUCUGAGAGCAUCAGCAGAGAUGGCAAAGCUUGCCUUAUCAGACUCUGAGGGAUUAGCAAGAGA
rnacentral:lncRNA from 1 species